GGGGGAAUAGUGUUCUCAAUGGCCUAUGUUUUGGACAUUUACAAGAGUGUUACAUUUGUUAAUCUGUUAUUUUUAAUUGCAGAAAACUAAAGAGGAGCUAUAAAUGCUUGCUUCUUUUAUUAAGUUCAUCAAGCUCAUCAGACCAACCAGUUGGGUUUGUUGUGAAGAUAAAAUGGUAUAAAGGGAAGAAAACCAUGGAUGCUGUGUUGAUGGUGUGAACAAGGGACAAUAAAAAUAAAAUAAAAUGAA